AAGGGCAGAUACUUGGAGCCUUCUGAAGUGUUUUGGUAUUACUCUGUAUGGGUUAAGCUUUCUGGUAGUAUAUGAUGAUACUCUGUGUAUUGUGGUUGCCUUGACUGUGACACAUGCUGUGACACACCUAUGUGCAGCAGAUUUCACUGUUCCCUCGAGAGGAUGCAGCUGAAGUAUUUUAUGGUGCUUCAGAGACAUAAGAUAAAAGGGAUUUAUGUCCUGAAGUUAUAUACAUGUAAACUGGAGAAGUCUUACAGCUGAGCACACACCAUCCCCAUUCUGGAUUUCAUUAUUUCCAUAAUGCAACAUCAGAUACGUACAGCCAAGCUCUUCGUUCCAGGGCUGGAAGCUGAUACUGAGUAAAAGCUGGAUGAAGGAGAAGUGAUCACAUCUCUGCUCUGUGUUACUGACACAGGAACUGCAGAGCAGCUAACGGGGCAAUGGAAUUGAUGGCACAUUCUGUAUCAGCAGGCUGAUCAAGCUGCUCAACUUGAAAUUACAAAAAGGCAAUUGGAAAUGGAAUUUUUGGCUUCAGUGAACCAAAUUACAAAACCUGGGGCAAAACCUAAGACCUCCUUUUCAGGUAAAUCUAUAUGCUACAAUACUGUAAUUAGGGGAUAGAACUCUUCCUCGUGAACUGGUAAAUGUGCCAAGAAAACAAUUUAAAACGUGGACACAGAUACACACACAUAUAAAUAUAUGUGUGUAUACAGUAAUAUCUGAUGUCUGCUGCUUUGGAAACCUCUGUAAAAAACUCACUGUGGCCGGAUGUUCUAACUAUAAAUGACUUUUAAAAUAAUAUAUUGGAAGUUUCUUUUGAAUCUAGUAUUUUGUUAAGGAAAUAUAGUGAACAUUGGUCCAGAGCCACAAAGACUGUUUAAUUUAUGGGGGUAUAUUGAACAGGAAUUUAAGAGUUUUAGGCUUUGACUUUUGGUUUCUUAAUGUAAUUUUUGUUAUUUCUUCUGUGCUAGAACCAGUAGUUGCAUUUGUCAAUACAGACAGUACUUAAAACAUUGAGCCAUUUUCUACUUUGUAUUCUAGCUCUGAAGCAAUUCUAGCUCCGAAAGAACUUACAUUUUUGAUAUGCCUAAUUCCCAUAUUCUAAUGAUUUACUUUCAUUACAAAUAUGACUAAUGAAACUCAAGAAUGUGUAUUUCAUAUUUAUAGACAACUAUCAGUACAAAUGAAAGAGUUUUUCUACAUACUUCCAAAUUAUGUAUGAGAAGGUUAAUUUAUCUGAUAGUAUCUGAGACAAUCAAAUAAAAAGUAAUAUUUUUUUCCAGGCAGCAUUAGCCAUGUGAAUUUUCAACAGUGGACUAGUCAAUUGGCUCAAAAAAAUGUUAUCUGAGUUGUUAGUUGGGAAAAAAUCCUCCAAGGAGAAGCACUGGAUGCACCGUUACUUUGGCAGAUAUCAAUAAAAAUAAAAAUUUAUGAGGGGGGAAAACCUCACCAUACAGCAGUAUCAACACUAGCAUGGAAGUCCAUAGUUCAUGUGGAAUAAUGUAGAAAACAAAGUUGGUUUUGAGAGUGAAAGAGAUUGUGUCUGUCCUGAAAAACUGAAUUUACAAGUAAACACCAUUGGCAAUUCAUGCUGAAGUCACAUUAACUCCAAAUUAAUUCAUCUUGAUUAAUGUUGCUAUGAUGAAUAUCAAAGACAUUAAAAAUGAUUAACCUAUUUAUUGCAGCAUCUUGCAACCUGGAAUAAUGUUUUGUAAAAUUGUCACUAGCGUUGUGCAUCUGUCUUUGCUAUUUAUGUAGACCUAGAUGCAGAAUAAUUUAUAGGACAACUGCUAUAGUUCUAAAAAUGUAGGCUUCAUGAGUUUAGUUGUUUCCAUGCCUGAUUGCAAAUUCACUGGCAUGUGCCAACAGGCUUAGUGAAUACCAGAUGUGUUUCUAUUUCUUUGUUUUGUAAGCAUGUGGUGUUAUGUAUCAACAUAUUCUUAUUCCUGACUGCUCAAAAGCGACGAGCUUAACUUACAUGCUUAAGGUGUCUUUUUCAAGAGUCAUAUAUUAAAAGAAAAAAAAAAAAAGGUAUAUGCUAGCCACCUUUAUUCCCAUUGCUCACCAUUGGACUUCAAAAGGUACCUUAACCUCUUUGAAGUUAUCUAACCCACUCAAUAGGAUGACUAGAUACAGAAAAAGUUAGAUAUUCAUGCAACUCUACAAGUUUGAAACCCUAAAGUACUAUUUUAUGUGAUGUCAAAAUUUUAAUUAUUUCUCAAAAGCUCCAGUUGGUGGAGAUAAAAAGUAGGGUAAUUUUUCAAUUGUAAUAAUGCCUAGAAAAAACUGACUUUUUUCCUUUUUUGGAAGAUCAUACAAAUAUUAAGGACUUGCACCAUUAACAUAUUUCUUAUAGAAAUUAGUCCAGGAGAUAUGAUUUUUAUUAAAAUAAGUAGAUGCAAAGAACAAAAUAUUUUUCUCUCUGUUCUUUUGAAAAAAAAAAAGGCUUAUAGAAUUUGACAUAGAAACAAGAAAACCUUAUUUAUGAAUAAAAGAAUAAUUCAGGAAAAAAGCUAAAAAAUGUCUGAUUACAAAGUAGAUGAACUCUAAUUAUCACAAUGAAAUUGUUUGUGUUGGACAUCAGGAAGAACAUGACACAUAUUUUGGUUUACCAUUUCUAUUAUAAAACGUGUUUGGGAGGUGAGGAAGCAGUGCCAUACAGCAGAGAAAUAAGAAGAAAUGUGCUCUAGACAACUGUGAAAGUUGAC